GGUGGUAGGACCAGGGCAAGAGGAAGAGCUGGGAUGAAGAAGUGGUAGAGCCCUGAAGCUGUUAGUUGCUGCUCCUACCACCAAAAGGAGACUGAGAGGAUGGAAAGAUAACUGCAUUGAAUAGGAAGGAUGCAGGGAUGAAUAAAGUCCUUGUUCUCUCCAUUAACCUCCACUCCAGGGCAGCAGACCACUUCUGUGGAAGCAUCUGGGUGCUCUCUGUUCAGCUGCAGUUAGGGUUUCCUUGUACCUGACACCAGUGAUGGGGCAGCGCAUGCACAAGGCAUUCAUACAACCUACUCAUUUUUCCUUUGUAUUCAUUGGAUGCAAAACACCAGUUUUGGAGAGCUCUGCUUUUUCAAGGCUCUCCACAAGACUAUUGAGGAAUUCCCACCAUUCCUUGACCUCUACAGACCACCAUUGGCACAGGCUCUCAAUAACUGAGCAACAAGAAACAUCAGCCCGGAAACCAGCCCCACUGCAGGAGCUUCGCUUCUGCGAAGAUUAAAGCUCAGACUGUUGCGUGUCCCUCUGCAGGUCUGAGAAUUGAGGAUCGACUUCAUUUCACCUCAAUAUAAUGCUGAUCUUGGGCGCUGCAAAGCCAUGGGCUGCGAGGAAGGUUUUCAUUACCAAAUUUUAGCUCCAUGGUCUGAGCUCUGAUGGAAAAAAUUAACAACUACAAAAGCAAAAAGGGGUUUGUCUGUGGUUUAGCUGAUUCCUUUUUAUUUGGCGUAUCGGCAGGAGCGAAGUGAAUGGCCUCUUCUCUCAGCUCUUGCUCCAAGUAAUGAUUGCCUCCAAACAGCAACCCUUAUGCAACCAGUAUUACAAUCUUGACAUUAUAAUCCUUUCCUGAACACACUUUCAAAGUCGACCGUAAAGAAUAGAGUGUUUUUCCCUCUUAACUGCCAUCCCAGCCUGGCUCUUCAUGUCAGCUUGAGCUCCUCUGUUCAUGUCUUGUCACAGGCAAUCCAAGGUAUGCCUCUCUGGGAGCCUUAGAGAGCUCGGAUGCCAAACCCCGAGAUGAAAAUCAGUGGGUUUCCUGUGGAAAAAAUGCUCAGAAAUCUUAUCAGCCCAAUAAUUUCCAGACAUGUCUAAUCCUGAGGGACUUGCCACUGGAUUUACAUCUGGAUUGUAUAAGUUUCACUGAAACACCUGCAUUAGGCUCCCUCUCCAGCCAGCGGAAAAGAUCAGCAGGGUUGACGGAGUCCUCCUGGAGGCACUCUGCUCAGCCAGAGACUAUGGCAGGAUAAUAGGGUGAUGAGUCUCCUAGCCUGGAUGCCUCAACAAAGUGCAGAAAAUGACAAGGAUACGCUGGAGCCAUAGCUAAUAACUUUGUUUGA